GUCUAUGGCCAUGCUACCUUGAACAAGCCUGAUCCCAUCUGAUCUCGGAAGCUAAGCAGAGUCAGGCCUAGUUAGUACUUGGAUUGUAAGCUGACAAGGUCCUUGCAAUCU
rnacentral:rRNA from 1 species